rfam:Oryza nivara chromosome 3, whole genome shotgun sequence.
AAUAAGUACAGCCAUGAGUUUUAACGUCCAACUUUGAUCAUCCGUUUUAUUUGAAAUUUUUUUAUAAUUAGCAAUUUGUAGUUAUAAGAUGAAAAAACAUGAAUACUACCUUACUCAUGAAUUAUGUUUUUAUUUUUUUUUCAAAAAAUUUUCAAAUAAGACGAGUUGUCAAAGUUAAGCAUGGAAAACCAUAGCUGCACUUAUU